rnacentral:tRNA from 1 species
GGGAAUGGCCGGGAUAGCUCAGUGGUAGAGC